rnacentral:rRNA from 1 species
AAUCAACGCUGGCGGCGUGCCUCAGACAUGCAAGUCGAACGAUUAAAGCUCUCUUCGGAGAGUGCAUAGAGUGGCGCACGGGUGAGUAACACGUAAGUAAUCUACCUUCGAGUGGGGAAUAACAGUCGGAAACGACUGCUAAUACCGCAUAAUGCAGCGGCAUCGCAAGAUGACAGUUGUUAAAGGAGCAAUUCGCUUGAAGAGGAGCUUGCGGCAGAUUAGCUUGUUGGUAAGGUAACGGCUUACCAAGGCUACGAUCUGUAACCGGUCUAAGAGGACGGUCGGUCACACUGACACUGAAUAACGGGUCAGACUCCUACGGGAGGCAGCAGUCGGGAAUUUUGGGCAAUGGGCGAAAGCCUGACCCAGCAACGCCGCGUGAA